CCUACGGGAGGCAGCAGUAGGGAAUAUUGCUCAAUGGGGGAAACCCUGAAGCAGCAACGCCGCGUGGAGGAUGAAGGUUUUCGGAUUGUAAACUCCUUUUGUUAGAGAAGAUAAUGACGGUAUCUAACGAAUAAGCACCGGCUAACUCCGUGCCAGCAGCCGCGGUAAUACGGAGGGUGCAAGCGUUACUCGGAAUCACUGGGCGUAAAGCGCGCGUAGGCGGGAUAGCAAGUCAGAUGUGAAAUCCUAUGGCUUAACCAUAGAACUGCAGUUGAAACUGGUAUUCUAGAGUAUGGGAGAGGUAGGUGGAAUUCUUGGUGUAGGGGUAAAAUCCGUAGAGAUCAAGAGGAAUACUCAUUGCGAAGGCGACCUGCUAGAACAUAACUGACGCUGAUGCGCGAAAGCGUGGGGAGCAAACAGGAUUAGAUACCCCGGUAGUC
rnacentral:rRNA from 1 species